GCGCCCGUAGCUCAGCUGGAUAGAGUACUGCCCUCCGAAGGCAGGGGUCGGACGUUCGAAUCGUCUCGGGCGUG
rnacentral:tRNA from 1 species